CCUANGGGGGGCAGCAGUUGGGGAUUUUGCACAAUGGACGAAAGUCUGAUGCAGCGACACCGCGUGAAGGAUGACAGCUCUCGGGUUGUAAACUUCUUUUGUAUAGGAAUAAUCUUGAAGGUACUAUGCGAAUAAGGACCGGCUAACUACGUGCCAGCAGCCGCGGUAAUACGUAGGGUCCAAACAUUAUCCGGAUUUAUUGGGCGUAAAGAGUGCGUAGGUGGCCUCUUAAGAUUUGGCUCAAAGCUCCCGGCUCAACCGGGAAAAGGGUUAAAUUACUGGGAGGCUAGAGGCGUUCAGGGGCAGAUGGAACUUAUGGUGUAGCAGUGAAAUGCGUUGAUAUCAUAAGGAACACCGAUGGCGAAGGCAGUCUGCUAGGAACAAUCUGACACUGAGGCACGAAAGCGUGGGGAGCGAACGGGAUUAGAUACCCUUNUANUC
rnacentral:rRNA from 1 species